UCAGCAUCUGCUGCCUGAUAUAGAAAACGUCCUAGCUCCUCCCUCUCUCUGGAAUUCCUUAUGUUUGUCUUCCUAAGGUGCUUCCAUUCAUCCUUAAACACCUAGAGUCAAUCGUCACUCAGAGAAGCUUCCUGGGUCUUGACAGACAACACGAUCGUCUGCCUUUCUGUUCUGUAAAGCAUGAAAUAGCACGACUACAGGAGCAUCACUACAUUAUAUUGGAAGAAAUUUAUGCAUUUCUCAGGACUACCAAAAGCCAACAGUUCCUCAACUGGAGGUGGGACUUCAUGUUCACGUCUCCCAGCUCCUUCGGUAGCGUGCAGAGGACCUUCCAGUACCAUGAACAUUAGUCCAUAGGGGUGAAGGCACUAGGCUCAGAGAGCUUCACGAUUAGACCACCAGUCACACUGAACAUGCAUUCAUCUGAGGACGUCUCAACCAGGCCUGAUGCAGCAGAAAACUGUGGAGGAGUACUGUGUGCUCAGCCUGUUUAUCUAGACAGCCCAGGGUCACCAGCCCAUGGGUGGUACUGCCCACGACCGACUGAACUCUCCCUAAUAACUAAUCAAGAAAUUGCCACACAGACUUGUCUACAGGCUGAUCUGAUGGGAUCAUUUUGUCAAA